rnacentral:rRNA from 1 species
UACGUAGGGUGCGAGCGUUGCCCGGAUUUAUUGGGCGUAAAGGGCGCGCAGGCGGCUACGCACGUCCGUUGUGAAAUCGCUCGGCUCAACUGGGCGGGGGUCAGCGGAUACGGCGUAGCUGGAGCAAGCUAGGGGGCAAUGGAAUUCCCCGGUGUAGUGGUGGAAUGCGUAGAUAUCGGGAGGAACACCAGUGGCGAAGGCGGUUGCCUGGAGCUUUGCUGACGCUGAGGCGCGAAAGCGUGGGGGAGCGAGUCCGG